AUUCAUUCCUAAACUCUUGGUGGCUGUGCUCUAAAAGCUGCCAAGAUAUGGGUGAAUGCUACAAAGAUUGGAGGCAAUCCAGAAGGUUGUGCAACCUGGGGGCCCAGCCUUAUCUCACACCCGCAACAUCU